rnacentral:rRNA from 1 species
GACGAACGCUGGCGGCGUGCUUAACACAUGCAAGUCGAACGGAAAGGCCCUGCUUUUGUGGGGUGCUCGAGUGGCGAACGGGUGAGUAACACGUGAGUAACCUGCCCUUACUUUUGGGUAACUUUAGGGAACUGGGGGUAAUAACCGGUUGGGAGCCCCGGUGGCAUGGUGGGGGUGGAAAGUUUCGGCGGUUGGGGAUGGACUCGCGGCUUAUCAGCUUGUUGGUGGGGUAGUGGCUUACCAAGGCUUUGACGGGUAGCCGGCCUGAGAGGGUGACCGGCCACAUUGGGACUGAGAUACGGCCCAGACUCCUACGGGAGGCAGCAGUGGGGAAUAUUGCACAAUGGGCGGAAGCCUGAUGCAGCAACGCCGCGUGCGGGAUGACGGCCUUCGGGUUGUAAACCGCUUUCGCCUGUGACGAAGCGUGAGUGACGGUAAUGGGUAAAGAAGCACCGGCUAACUACGUG